UAGGUUCGUUAGCUGACUGAACAACUCAUUCGGAACUCUGAACAGCUCACCGUACCAGUUAGCUUCCCUGAAGGUCACAAUGUACAAGGCUUUGGUGUUUGUCCUCUUGAUGGUUACUCUAACCAAUGCUAACGCAAUUCCGCUGCAAGAAUAUGAAGAUGAUGGAAGAGUAGCGGAGAAAAGGGAUCGUUCUUGUCCAGACACCUGUACUUACGUCCAUGAAGACUGCUGGUGGACUAACAAUCCAGAGAGUGACGAAUGCAAGUUUUCGAGAAAAUGUGGCUGCGAAUAAUGACGUCUGGCUCAGUGGUCACUUAUUUACCUGCAAGAUUAAUAUGUUAUUCUAACCAUAGCUCAAGAUAAUAAACUUAUCUGCUGUUUUAUUUAAAAGUGGGCGCAAACAGGAUCUGUGAAACAAAUAUGAAUAAUAACGACUAUUUAGUGUCAAUAACACAAAGAAAUUGAAAAUAAAGGAAUUAGUAUAAUUUA